rnacentral:rRNA from 1 species
CAAAGGCUCCAAAGGAAGCCACGGCUAACUCUGUGCCAGCAGCCGCGGUAAUACAGAGGUGGCAAGCGUUGUUCGGAAUUAUUGGGCGUAAAGAGCACGUAGGUGGAUUUGUAAGUCAGACGUGAAAGCCUUCUGUUCAACGGAAGAAUUGCAUCUGAAACUGUAAGUCUUGAGUAUAGGAGGGGAGAAUGGAACUUCUGGUGGAGCGGUGAAAUGCGUAGAUAUCAGAAGGAACGCCGGCGGCGAAAGCGAUUCUCUGGCCUAUUACUGACACUCAGUGUGCGAAAGCUAGGGGAGCAAACGGGAUUAGAUACCCCGGUAGUCCUAGCCGUAAA